rnacentral:rRNA from 1 species
AUUGAACGCUGGCGGCAUGCCUUACACAUGCAAGUCGAACGGCAGCAUGAUCUAGCUUGCUAGAUUGAUGGCGAGUGGCGAACGGGUGAGUAAUACAUCGGAACGUGCCCUGUAGUGGGGGAUAACUAGUCGAAAGAUUAGCUAAUACCGCAUACGACCUGAGGGUGAAAGUGGGGGACCGCAAGGCCUCAUGCUAUAGGAGCGGCCGAUGUCUGAUUAGCUAGUUGGUGAGGUAAAGGCUCACCAAGGCGACGAUCAGUAGCUGGUCUGAGAGGACGAUCGGCCAAACUGGAACUGAGACACGGCCCAGACUCCUACGGGAGGCAGCAGUGGGGAAUUUUGGACAAUGGGCGAAAGCCUGAUCCAGCAAUGCCGCGUGUGUGAAGAAGGCCUUCGGGUUGUAAAGCACUUUUGUCCGGAAAGAAAUGGCUCUGGUUAAUACCUGGGGUCGAUGACGGUACCGGAAGAAUAAGGACCGGCUAACUACGU